GUAUACAAUCUGCCUCUUACAGGGGGAUAGCCUUUGGAAACGAAGAAUAAUACCCCAUAGUAUGUAAUUAUCGCAUGGUAACUACAUUAAAGAUUUAUCGGUAAGAGAUGAGUAUGCGUCCUAUUAGCUAGAUGGUGUGGUAACGGCACACCAUGGCAACGAUAGGUAGGGGCCCUGAGAGGGGGAUCCCCCACACUGGUACUGAGACACGGACCAGACUCCUACGGGAGGCAGCAGUGAGGAAUAUUGGACAAUGGGCGCGAGUGAUCCAGCCAUGCCGCGUGCAGGAAGACUGCCCUAUGGGUUGUAAACUGCUUUUAUACGGGAAGAAACCCACCUACGUGUAGGUGCUGACGGUACCGUAAGAAUAAGGAUCGGCUAACUCCGUGCCAGCAGCCGCGGUAAUACGGAGGAUCCAAGCGUUAUCCGGAAUCAUUGGGUUUAAAGGGUCCGUAGUGGACAAUUAAGUCAGAGGUGAAAUCCUGCAGCUUAACUGUAGAAUUGCUUUUGAUACUGGUUGUCUUGAAUUAUUGUGAAGUGGUUAGAAUAUGUAGUGUAGCGGUGAAAUGCAUAGAUAUUACAUAGAAUACCAAUUGCGAAGCAGAUCACUAACAAUAUAUUGACACUGAUGGACGAAAGCGUGGGGAGCGAACGGGAUUAGAUACCCCGGUAGUCCACGCCGUAAACGAUGGUCACUAGCUGUUCGGAUUUCGGUCUGAGUGGCUAAGCGAAAGUGAUAAGUGACCCACCUGGGGAGUACGUUCGCAAGAAUGAAACUCAAAGGAAUUGACGGGGGCCGCACAAGCGUGGAGCAUGUGGUUUAAUUCGAUGAUACGCGAGGA
rnacentral:rRNA from 1 species